GACGAACGCUGGCGGCGUGCUUAACACAUGCAAGUCGAACGGAAAGGCCCCUUUUGGGGUACUCGAGUGGCGAACGGGUGAGUAACACGUGAGUAACCUGCCCUUGACUUCGGGAUAACUUCAGGAAACUGGGGCUAAUACCGGAUAGGAAUCCUUGCUGCAUGGUGUGGGUUGGAAAGCUUCGGCGGUUUUGGAUGGACUCGCGGCUUAUCAGCUUGUUGGUGGGGUAGUGGCUUACCAAGGCUUUGACGGGUAGCCGGCCUGAGAGGGCGACCGGCCACAUUGGGACUGGGGUACGGCCCAGACUCCUACGGGAGGCAGCAGUGGGGAUUAUUGCACAAUGGGCGGAAGCCUGAUGCAGCAACGCCGCGUGCGGGAUGACGGCCUUCGGGUUGGAAACCGCUUUCAGCAGGGGCGAAGCUUGUGGUGACGGUACCUGCAGAAGAAGCACCGGCUAACUACGUG
rnacentral:rRNA from 1 species